UGUGUGUGUGUGUAUAAUGCAAAUAGAUGGUAUAUAUAUUUACAUACUAAAUAUGUUUCUACAAAUGCAUCUCACAGAAGAAGAAUCAACCCAUUCUGCUCAGGUAAAUGGGGAAGGAAGCCCAGAGGGAGUGGCUUAUGAAUGAGUAUAAAACAAUUAGGACUUCAACAGGCAGAGAAAGAGGGAAGUAAAUUCCAGGAAGAAAAAACAUAAUGUGCAAAUAUGUGAAGUUAUGAAAAUCCAGAGUGAGUACUUCAAAGAAUAACAAGUUGGGCUGGGAAUGGGGUAGCUCAUACCUGUAAUCCCAGCACUUUGGGAGGCCAAGGUGGGAGGAUCACUUGAGGCCAGGAGUUCAAGACCAGCCUGAGUAAAAAAUAAAAAAAUUUUAAAAAAAGGUUGUUUUGGAGCAUCGAAGGAAAGAAAGUUCGUAAAACUUUAUUUGGGAGAUUCUGCAAGGCCUUCAUAUGGAUUUUAAAGGAUAUGGAAGAGUUCCAAGGCCAAGUUCGGAAAGAAGACAUGUUAGAGGAAAUAAAAAUCACUAGAAAAGCCAUUAAUGUGGGAAAAUAAGAUAUCUGUUAGAGGAUGAAGGAGUAGAAAAAUUUUGAACGAAGUGUAGUCAUGAGUGGUAAGUCUGAAUAAGCCAUGCUUAGAAAUAAUUUUGAAUGCCAAGGCAAAGCCACAUCUGUUUCAUUUGACAGGCAGAGGUGAGGUCACAGUUGGCCUGAAGUGAAAAACCCAAAUUCUUGCAGGGACUAGACAAGAUUAGUGGUCUGGGCAUAAAAAUAAUCAGGAGGCAACCAUGACCCAACUCCAGCUCACACCACUCAAGAAUACAGUCACCUGGCCAGAACCUUUGAUUUUUCAAAAGAAGCAAAACAACAAAAAUCCAAAAGCUUAGGUGUCUGCAGGACUAAGCUGUGGUGUGGAGAGCCGCUGGGCAGAGGUGGUACAGGGAGGAUCAGAGAAAGCUCCAGCAAAAGGCUUCUGCUGCUCUAACUUUCUUUCUAUCCUGAUGAAGAAACCCCAAAACAUUCCUCUCUGAGGCUAUACAGGAAGGAUUGUGCUGGCAUCAGGACUCAGCUUCUGGGGAGGCCUCAGGGAGAUUUUAUUCUCAGCAGAAGGCAAAGCAAGGAGCUUGCACGUCACACAGCAAACACAGGAGCAAGAGAGAGUAGGGGAGGUGCCACGCACUUUAGACAACCUGACCCAACACCUCCCACCAGGCCCCUCCUCCAACACUGGGGAUUACAUUUCAACAUGAGAUUUGGCAGGUACACAGAUCCAAACCAUAUCACAGCUGGUUUUCACUUUUCAGGCUUCCGAACAGAAAAGUCUUAUAUAAGCCAUCUCUUUUCAAUGGUUAGUUGCUUGUCCCAAGGGUGAAGACUCUUAUAAGCAUUGUGUGUGUGUGUGUGUGUGUGUGUGUGUGUGUGUGGUGUAGGAGCAGGGGAGAGAGAGGGAGAAAAAGAGGGAGAGACAGCUUCCUUCUCCUGAAGGACUUUCUCAAGAUUAACAGCAUAUUCUGUGGCCUGAGCUUUCUGAACCUGGCAGGAGCUGACUCUUAUGGGAACAGAACUCUGCCUGUCAUAGUCUCAGGUUGGGCCACUGACUUAGCUCAUAAUCUUGACUGACUACCUUAGAUAUAGAGGCUAUUAGCAAACCAUUGUAGAGGAAAAUGUUCCUUUAUAUUAUGCCUGUGAACCUCCAUGCACUGGGAUGAGAGGUAACAUAGGGGAAGAAAUAUUAGAAUCCGUGGAGCUAGAAUAGAAUGCUUUAUUUACUGGAUUACCUUGGUAAAGUCACCUCACCUCUCUGUGCCUUAUUUCCUACAAGCAUAAAAGCUAGCCAGAAAUAUUCACCUCACAGAGGUAUUAUGAAGAUUCUAUGAGAUCAUGGACACAGAAGUGCCUGACACCUGGUUAUGCUGGAUCAGAGAGAAAAGAAUGAAGAAAUUGGAGCUAAGGAGAUGUGGAUUUAAAUCUUGACUCCACGACUUAUAACGACAACUACCAUGAAUUCAGUAAUUUCUAUGUA